rnacentral:rRNA from 1 species
UACGAGGGGGGCUAGCGUUGCUCGGAAUCACUGGGCGUAAAGGGUGCGUAGGCGGGUCUUUAAGUCAGGGGUGAAAUCCUGGAGCUCAACUCCAGAACUGCCUUUGAUACUGAAGAUCUUGAGUUCGGGAGAGGUGAGUGGAACUGCGAGUGUAGAGGUGAAAUUCGUAGAUAUUCGCAAGAACACCAGUGGCGAAGGCGGCUCACUGGCCCGAUACUGACGCUGAUGCACGAAAGCGUGGGGAGCAAACAGG